rnacentral:rRNA from 1 species
UACGUAGGGUGCGAGCGUUGUCCGGAAUUAUUGGGCGUAAAGAGCUCGUAGGCGGUGUGUCACGUCGGCCUGAAAACCUGCAGCUUAACUGUGGGCGUGCGGUCGAUACGGGCAUCACUGGAGUUCGGCAGGGGAGACUGGAAUUCCUGGUGUAGCGGUGAAAUGCGCAGAUAUCAGGAGGAACACCGGUGGCGAAGGCGGGUCUCUGGGCCGAUACUGACGCUGAGGAGCGAAAGCGUGGGGAGCAAACAGG